AAGUGGGCGGGAUGACUGCAGUGGGUGAGGGCGGGAAGGCGGGCGGGCGUAUUGAUUGGAGGGUUGGGGGAAAUGGGGGGUUGUUGGGGGUCUCUUGCGGUAUAGGCAGGGAGGAGGAUGAGUAGAAAGAGGAAGAGGAAGAAGAGGAGGGUGAAUGGAGGACCAGGAAGAGGAGGAGGAGGAGGAGGAGGAGGAGGAGGAGGAGGAGGAGGAACAUUGGGAUAAUGAGAAUGAAAAGCUUAUGAUUGGUUAUCCGUUGAGUGAAAGCUGUGGUGAUGACUUGUGGUGAUGACAGUUGUAGUGAUGACCGACAGGUGUGGAGAUGAUGAUGACUAUGAUGGUGACUUGUAUGGUGUUGACGUUGUUAUGACAGUUGUGGUGAUGACUUAAUGGUGAUGGUGACAAGUGUGGUGCUGACAUGUAUAGUGACAGUAUGGUGAUCACGUGGUGGUGGUGACGUGUGGUGCUGACAAGUGUAAUGGUGAUCACGUGGUGGUGAAGGUGUGACACUCAUUCAAUACAGCAAGUUUCUGAAUCCAAGGCUGGGUAAAGGAGGUGUCCGGGUCUCCUUCUGUCUCCUUCAGUCCGCCACUUUCCAAUGGUAGUGGUGAUGGUAAUGACAACAGUGACUUGGCGGUGUUGGUUCCCCUCUGCUGACAACAGUAAUGAUGGCAACGCUACCACUGCCGCCACCAGCAACAAUGACAGCAGUGACAGCCGCGACAACAACAUUGACGGCAACAUUAACGACAACAACAACUACUACUAUGACAGCGACAGGAGAUGAUGAUGAUGACGAACAACAACAACAACAACAACAACAACAAAAUGAAGAAGAAGAAGAAGAAAGUGAAAAGAAAACAAGAAGAAGAGAAAGAAAAGAAGAACAAGAAGAGAAGGAAAAAAGAAAAAAAUAGAUGAAGAUGAUGAUGAUGAUGAAGAACCAGCAAGACGAAGAUGAAGAAGAAGAGAAGGAAAAGAACAAGAUGAAGAUGAAAAGAAAAAAAAAGAAGAAACAAGAUGAAGAUAAAGAGGAAGAGAAGGAAAGCAACACGAUACAUCACCACCACCACCACCACCACCACAGUAACACCCUUCCCCUUCCCCCCUCCCUACUCAGCGCCUCCGUCAAGUAGGUUCCUCGCGUGGGUUGAGCAGUGACGUCACCUUACCUAUUGAUGGCUGCCGGUGAUGGAGGGGGGAAGGGGUGGCAGCAAAAGGAGGAGGAGGAGGAGGAAGAGAAGGAAAAGGAGAAGGAGGAGGAGGAGUAAAUAGUGGAACAUGAGAGUGGGCGGUAUAGAGAGAGAGAGAGAGAGAGAGAGAGAGAGAGAGAGAGAGAGAGAGAGAGAGAGAGAGA